AACGAACGCUGGCGGCAUGCCUAACACAUGCAAGUCGAACGAGACCAUCGGGGUUAGUGGCGCACGGGGGGGUGACGCGGGGGGAACUGCCCUUAAGUUUGGAAUAAAUCCCCGGAAGGGGUGCUAAAACCGGCUAAUAUCCUCCGACCAAAGAUUUAUCGCCUUUGGAUGGGCCCGGGUUGGAUUAGCUAGUUGGUAGGGUAAAAGCCUACCAAGGCGACGAUCCAUAGCUGGUCUGAGAGGAUGAUCAGCCACACUGGGACUGAGACACGGCCCAGACUCCUACGGGAGGCAGCAGUGGGGAAUAUUGGACAGUGGGCGAAAGCCUGAUCCAGCAAUGCCGCGUGAGUGAUGAAGGCCUUAGGGUUGUAAAGCUCUUUUACCCGGGAUGAUAAUGACAGUACCGGGAGAAUAAGCUCCGGCUAACUCCGUG
rnacentral:rRNA from 1 species